rnacentral:lncRNA from 1 species
GUUGGGAUUGAACCAAGUGUAACCACAUCAUUUAAUCAAUAAUACAAACCCCUUUGAGUUUUUACCAGAACAACUAAGAACCAUUGUUCAUUAAAAAUCCUAACUCAAGUAGAUAAAUUAUAUGAUAUGUGACAUUAUAAAUAAAUAAAUAGGGGUAAUAUAGUAAUUUAUAUAAACGGGCGGGUUCGGGGACGGGUUCGGGGUGGGUACCAAUAUCUCCGUUAUCCGCCCCAUCCCCAUGUUUUGAAAUCGGGCAAAACCCAAACCCGAACN